GAUGAACGCUGGCGGCGUGCCUAAUACAUGCAAGUCGAGCGAACAGAUAAGGAGCUUGCUCCUUUGACGUUAGCGGCGGACGGGUGAGUAACACGUGGGUAACCUACCUAUAAGACUGGGAUAACUUCGGGAAACCGGAGCUAAUACCGGAUAAUAUUUCGAACCGCAUGGUUCGAUAGUGAAAGAUGGUUUUGCUAUCACUUAUAGAUGGACCCGCGCCGUAUUAGCUAGUUGGUAAGGUAACGGCUUACCAAGGCGACGAUACGUAGCCGACAUGAGAGGGUGAUCGGCCACACUGGAACUGAGACACGGUCCAGACUCCUACGGGAGGCAGCAGUAGGGAAUCUUCCGCAAAGGGCGAAAGCCUGACGGAGCAACGCCGCGUGAGUGAUGAAGGUCUUCGGAUCGUAAAACUCUGUUAUUAGGGAAGAACAUACGUGUAAGUAACUGUGCACGUCUUGACGGUACCUAAUCAGAAAGCCACGGCUAACUACGUG
rnacentral:rRNA from 1 species